UACGUAGGGUGCAAGCGUUGUCCGGAAUUAUUGGGCGUAAAGAGCUCGUAGGCGGUUUGUCGCGUCUGCUGUGAAAUCUGGGGGCUCAACCCCCCAGCCUGCAGUGGGUACGGGCAGACUAGAGUGCGGUAGGGGAGAUUGGAAUUCCUGGUGUAGCGGUGGAAUGCGCAGAUAUCAGGAGGAACACCGAUGGCGAAGGCAGAUCUCUGGGCCGUAACUGACGCUGAGGAGCGAAAGCGUGGGGAGCAAACAGG
rnacentral:rRNA from 1 species